rnacentral:rRNA from 1 species
GACGAACGCUGGCGGCGUGCUUAACACAUGCAAGUCGAACGCUGAAGCUUGGUGCUUGCACUGGGUGGAUGAGUGGCGAACGGGUGAGUAAUACGUGAGUAACCUGCCCUUGACUCUGGGAUAAGCCUGGGAAACUGGGUCUAAUACUGGAUACGACAUGUCACCGCAUGGUGGUGUGUGGAAAGGGUUUUACUGGUUUUGGAUGGGCUCACGGCCUAUCAGCUUGUUGGUGGGGUAAUGGCUCACCAAGGCGACGACGGGUAGCCGGCCUGAGAGGGUGACCGGCCACACUGGGACUGAGACACGGCCCAGACUCCUACGGGAGGCAGCAGUGGGGAAUAUUGCACAAUGGGCGGAAGCCUGAUGCGGCGACGCCGCGUGAGGGAUGACGGCCUUCGGGUUGUAAACCUCUUUCAGCACGGAAGAAGCGAAAGUGACGGUACGUGCAGAAGAAGCGCCGGCUAACUACGUG